UACGUAGGGUGCGAGCGUUAAUCGGAAUUACUGGGCGUAAAGCGUGCGCAGGCGGUUUUGUAAGUCAGGUGUGAAAUCCCCGGGCUCAACCUGGGAAUGGCAUUUGGGACUGCAAGGCUCGAGUGCGGCAGAGGAGACUGGAAUUCCUGGUGUAGCAGUGAAAUGCGUAGAUAUCAGGAGGAACACCGAUGGCGAAGGCAGGUCUCUGGGCUGACACUGACGCUCAUGCACGAAAGCGUGGGGAGCAAACAGG
rnacentral:rRNA from 1 species